rnacentral:rRNA from 1 species
UACGCGUGAGAACCUGCCUCUAGGACGGGGACAACAGUUGGAAACGACUGCUAAACCCGGAUGAGCCGAAAGGUAAAAGAUUAAUCGCCUAGAGAGGGGCUUGCGUCUGAUUAGCUAGUUGGUGAGGUAAGAGCCCACCAAGGCGACGAUCAGUAGCUGGUCUGAGAGGAUGAUCAGCCACACUGGGACUGAGACACGGCCCAGACUCCUACGGGAGGCAGCAGUGGGGAAUUUUCCGCAAUGGGCGAAAGCCUGACGGAGCAAGACCGCGUGGGGGAGGAAGGUUCUUGGAUUGUCAACCCCUUUUCUCAGGGAAGAACACAAUGACGGUACCUGAGGAAAAAGCAUCGGCUAACUCCGUGCCAGCAGCCGCGGUAAUACGGGGGAUGCAAGCGUUAUCCGGAAUGAUUGGGCGUAAAGAGUCCGUAGGUAGUCAUCCAAGUCUGCUGUUAAAGAGCGAGGCUUAACCUCGUAAAGGCAGUGGAAACUGGAAGACUAGAGUGUAGUAGGGGCAGAGGGAAUUCCUGGUGUAGCGGUGAAAUGCGUAGAGAUCAGGAAGAACACCGGUGGCGAAGGCGCUCUGCUGGGCUAUAACUGACACUGAGGGACGAAAGCUAGGGGAGCG